GUAAGGAAUAUUGGUCAAUGGACGCAAGUCUGAACCAGCCAUGCCGCGUGAAGGAUUAAGGUCAGGAUUGUAAACUUCUUUUAUCUGGGACGAAAAAAGGGAUUCUUCGUCACUGACGACCAGAGAGAC
rnacentral:rRNA from 1 species